rnacentral:rRNA from 1 species
GAGAAUGCCGGUGUGAGUAGCGAAAGACGGGUGAGAAUCCCGUCCACCGAUUGACUAAGGUUUCCAGAGGAAGGCUCGUCCGCUCUGGGUUAGUCGGGUCCUAAGCUGAGGCCGACAGGCGUAGGCGAUGGAUAACAGGUUGAUAUUCCUGUACCACCUAUAAUCGUUUUAAUCGAUGGGGGGACGCAGUAGGAUAGGCGAAGCGUGCGAUUGGAUUGCACGUCUAAGCAGUAAGGCUGAGUAUUAGGCAAAUCCGGUACUCGUUAAGGCUGAGCUGUGAUGGGGAGAAGACAUUGUGUCUUCGAGUCGUUGAUUUCACACUGCCGAGAAAAGCCUCUAGAUAGAAAAUAGGUGCCCGUACCGCAAACCGACACAGGUAGUCAAGAUGAGAAUUCUAAGGUGAGCGAGCGAACUCUCGUUAAGGAACUCGGCAAAAUGACCCCGUAACUUCGGGAGAAGGGGUGCUCUUUAGGGUUAACGCCCAGAAGAGCCGCAGUGAAUAGGCCCAAGCGACUGUUUAUCAAAAACACAGGUCUCUGCUAAACCGUAAGGUGAUGUAUAGGGGCUGACGCCUGCCCGGUGCUGGAAGGUUAAGAGGAGUGGUUAGCUUCUGCGAAGCUACGAAUCGAAGCCCCAGUAAACGGCGGCCGUAACUAUAACGGUCCUAAGGUAGCGAAAUUCCUUGUCGGGUAAGUUCCGACCCGCACGAAAGGCGUAACGAUUUGGGCACUGUCUCAACGAGAGACUCGGUGAAAUCAUAGUACCUGUGAAGAUGCAGGUUACCCGCGACAGGACGGAAAGACCCCGUGGAGCUUUACUGUAGCCUGAUAUUGAAAUUCGGCACAGCUUGUACAGGAUAGGUAGGAGCCUUU